CCCCAUAUGGCUCAGUGGGUAAAGAAUCUGCCUGCAGUGCAGGAGACCUGGGUUCGAUCCCUGGGUUGGGA
rnacentral:tRNA from 1 species